GCUGGGCGUGGUGGCUCACGCCUGUAAUCCCAGCAAUUUGGGAGGCCGAGGUGGAUGGAUCACCUGAGGUCAGGAGUUCGAGACCAGCCUGACCAACAUGGAGAAACUCCAUCUCUA
ensembl:misc_RNA Metazoa_SRP Metazoan signal recognition particle RNA